GGAAACUUGAAAACUACCGUUAGAUCGAGAAAUGGACGUCCGAGAUUCGUUCACGUCAUCAUGAGUUAAAAUUUAACUCGCAGAUUCACUCAUGAGUUGAAAUUUUACUGGGAGUUAAAUUUUAACUCAUUGUGACGUGGACGAAUCUCGGACGUCCAUUUCUCGAUCCAACGUUAGUUUCCAAGUUUCC
rnacentral:pre_miRNA from 17 species